UGCACAGGAAGUUACGCCCUGGAGGCGGUACCUGGUAGUGGAGGGCGUAGCGAUGGGCGGGGCGGAGCGUAGCAUCUGUGGUCAUCCUGGAACCUUGGAUUCCCGGCAGUUUUGCAGAACACUGAUAUCUAUGGACUCUAACAUGGACUUCAUUUAAAGAAAUCCACGGACCAUUAAUGGACAAAAACAUGAAUCAAUUUAUGUUGUGGCAUUCAAAUCCUAGCACUUUGGGGAAGCAUCAAGUACAAGUUUUUGAAGACCCUGGGGCCUACCAUCAUUAUGCAUUCAAGAUUUGAGUUUGAAUAACUUCAUCAAGACUUAGAUCCUCUUCAAAAGCCUCAAGUCUCAUCUGCAUUAAAGCUCUCCAUUGAACCCUCUCACAAAAGUAAAAGCUUACAGGGACUAAAAUCCACUAAUACAUUCCAUUAUAUCCUUUCCUUUGAUUUCUCUUCAAUUUCUAGCCUUUAGGGUCUUUCAUAUUGCUUAUGUUCCUUUAGAUUGGAGCCAAGGAAACGGUGCCUUCCAAAAGAAUAGAUGUCCUGUGGCUGUAAGUUUUCAUCGGUAUAGAAGUUUAAACUUGGUAUGAUAAGUUUGCAAUCACGUCUUUUGUUAUAUCCUAUAAAAACUUGAACCAACAAUAAGAAAUGAGAAUGAAGUGGUAAAAAUAUUUGAGGUCAAAUUAUACCAUCAGUGGUUUAGAGAAAAGAGCCUUCUUCCUGGGAAAGUCACGUAGCCUUUCUGGAGCUUAGUUUCAUCUGUAAAGUAAAUAUUAUUUCCCCUGCCUACCUCACAGGGUUGUUGUGAGGGUCAAAUGAAAUAUAUAAAAAGGACUUUAUAUAAAAUGUGCAGUACAGAUCUAGAGUCCUGUUACAAGUCGUUCCCUCCGCUCUGGGACCUGGGAAGGUAGAUGAUUUAAGCACACUGAAAGUGAGCACCAUGUCCAGGCUGAAUACACGGGAACGAGCCUGGGUUAAGUUUUCUUUUCUCUGGGUACACAGAGUACUUUUGUGAGCUAAUUCUAAGAAGGAGGAAGACUAUACAUGUCCCUAAAAUUUUAAGUUAGCAUUUAUAAUGCUCUAGAGCCAUUACAUGUUGUAUUUGUAUUCGUGGCUUGCAACCUUUGUUUCCAAGUUGUGACCAGCAUUUUUUUUUUAAAUGAAGGCGCAUAAAGCAGAACAUUUCACACUGCAUCCCACAUGGUAAGAGUAAGUGUGUUUUAGUUAUAUGUAUGUGUGAAUGUGUGUAUGUGUUUGUAUUUGUGUACUUGGUCAUUAAAUAAAAUGCAUUUUUUCCCCUAUGAGUUGCAGUCGCUGAUCCAGGUGUAUUAUUUUAGUACUAAUGCUUUCCUACGCAUUUGGGUUCUUAGGAGACUUUUCUUUUCACUUCAUACCACUACCGCUUGUGACACAGGAAUUGACAGUUAAUAUCAGUUUGACUUUUGGUCUGUUAAUGAGAUUUUGUAAUUUCAGAGCACAGAGAAAGCCUCUAGACCUCUGGGUACUUUAUUUAGUAAUACCAUCCACUUUGACACCCAGACUAUUCAAACACGUAAGGCUGGUUCAACCUCUACUACUAGAAAGAUUGUAUCAGAUU